UGAGGAAUCUUGCGCAAUGGGGGCAACCCUGACGCAGCAACGCCGCGUGAGUGAGGAAGGUCUUCGGAUCGUAAAGCUCUGUCAGUUGGGAAGAACCACCUAAGAGUUAAUACCUCUUAGGCUUGACGGUACCAACAGAGGAAGCACCGGCUAACUCCGUGCCAGCAGCCGCGGUAAUACGGGGGGUGCAAGCGUUGUUCGGAAUUAUUGGGCGUAAAGAGCGUGUAGGCGGCCUGAUGUGUCAGAUGUGAAAGCCCUGGGCUUAACCCAGGAAGUGCAUUUGAAACUGUCAGGCUUGAGUAGGGGAGAGGGAAGUGGAAUUCCUGGUGUAGAGGUGAAAUUCGUAGAUAUCAGGAGGAACACCGGUGGCGAAGGCGACUUCCUGGCCCUAUACUGACGCUGAGACGCGAGAGCGUGGGUAGCAAACAGG
rnacentral:rRNA from 1 species